rnacentral:rRNA from 1 species
GAUGAACGCUGGCGGCGUGCUUAACACAUGCAAGUCGAACGAAGCACUUUAUUAUGAUUUCUUCGGAAUGACGAUUUAGUGACUGAGUGGCGGACGGGUGAGUAACGCGUGAGGAACCUGCCUCAAAGAGGGGGACAACAGUUGGAAACGACUGCUAAUACCGCAUAAGCCCACGACCCGGCAUCGGGAAGAGGGAAAAGGAGCAAUCCGCUUUGAGAUGGCCUCGCGUCCGAUUAGCUAGUUGGUGAGGUAACGGCCCACCAAGGCGACGAUCGGUAGCCGGACUGAGAGGUUGAACGGCCACAUUGGGACUGAGACACGGCCCAGACUCCUACGGGAGGCAGCAGUGGGGAAUAUUGCACAAUGGGGGAAACCCUGAUGCAGCGACGCCGCGUGGAGGAAGAAGGUCUUCGGAUUGUAAACUCCUGUUGUUGAGGAAGAUAAUGACGGUACUCAACAAGGAAGUGACGGCUAACUACGUG